CCAGCGAGGCUCCGACCCUGCCUGCACGACCGCGCUCCUCGCACGGAACGCUGAGGAAGCAACGUUAUUCCUCAGUAUCCCCAGAUACUCAAGACAUCGCUAGUGACGGGCAGGGAUGGAGCAUUCGAUACUCAGCUCGAGGUUCGGUUUGGAGGGUUCGUACGGCAGCUACAGCCGAGGCAGAGGCGGUAGCAAACCUCGAAGGCGCUUUGGGAGCCGCUCCGAGCCUCUCCCCAGGAGCUAUGGAAGGAUUUCCCCCGCAUCCCCCCCGUCCUUCCCCAAUUAGGGUCAAGUGACCUUCGCCUCAGGACAGAAUCGGGGCUGCCGCCCUCCCAGCAUGGAGGAAGUAAUUUUACCCUCGUUUUAUGGAUGGAGUGUUACAAGACAAAAUGGAGAUGAAGUCAAAAGUAACCACUGCUGUGGGCUGUCCAAGUCCAAGCUGCCUGCAACCAGAUUUUGAAACCUCUAGGAAUGCUACGUGUUAAAAGCACAGCUGACAGUGACACAAGCAAUACAGAGAGCAGCCGGGAAUGUGGUGGCCAUUUGCUGGCAGCUGACUGUAACUGAGAACUUCUGAAAAACUAUCAAGGCCCAACUCAUUUUUUAAAGUAUUUUCUAAUAUAAAUAAGAACAACCUUUCCUUGAGGGAAACAGAACAUUUUGGUUUGAAAUCUUAGUGUCUGAAAUUUGCUUUAAUUUGUAUCCUACCAUCAACAUUAAGCCACUGAUUAA